UACAGAGGGUGCAAGCGUUAAUCGGAAUUACUGGGCGUAAAGCGCGCGUAGGCGGCUUGACAAGUCGAGUGUGAAAUCCCCGGGCUUAACCUGGGAGCUGCAUUCGAAACUGUCUUGCUAGAGUAUGGGAGAGGGAGGUGGAAUUUCCUGUGUAGCGGUGAAAUGCGUAGAUAUAGGAAGGAACACCAGUGGCGAAGGCGACCACCUGGACUGAUACUGACACUGAGGUGCGAAAGCGUGGGGAGCAAACAGG
rnacentral:rRNA from 1 species